ensembl:snRNA U6 U6 spliceosomal RNA
UUGCUUGCUUUGGAACACAUUUAUUAAAUUGGAACUAUACAGGGAAGAUUAGCAUGGCUCCUACAAAAGGAUAACACACAAAUUUAUGAGCCAUUCCAUAUAUUU